AGGUGCUUGCACCUUAUCUUAGCGGCGGACGGGUGAGUAAUGCUUAGGAAUCUGCCUAUUAGUGGGGGACAACAUUCCGAAAAGGAAUGCUAAUACCGCAUACGUCCUACGGGAGAAAGCAGGGGAUCUUCGGACCUUGCGCUAAUAGAUGAGCCUAAGUCGGAUUAGCUAGUUGGUGGGGUAAAGGGCCUACCAAGGCGACGAUCUGUAGCGGGUCUGAGAGGAUGAUCCGCCACACUGGGACUGAGACACGGCCCAGACUCCUACGGGAGGCAGCAGUGGGGAAUAUUGGGACAAUGGGGGAAACCCUGAUCCAGCCAUGCCGCGUGUGUGAAGAAGGCCUUAUGGUUGUAAAGCACUUUAAGCGAGGAGGAGGCUACUGAGACUAAUACUCUUGGGAUAGUGGACGUUACUCGCAGAAUAAGCACCGGCUAACUCUGUGCCAGCAGCCGCGGUAAUACAGAGGGUGCGAGCGUUAAUCGGAUUUACUGGGCGUAGAGCGUGGCGUAGGCGGCUUUUUAAGUCGGAUGUGAAAUCCCCGAGCUUAACUUGGGAAUUGCAUUCGAUACUGGGAAGCUAGAGUAUGGGAGAGGAUGGUAGAAUUCCAGGUUGUAGCGGUGAAAUGCGUAGAGAUCUGGAGGAAUACCGGAUAGCAAAGCAGCCAUCUGGCCUAAUACUGACGCUGAGGUACGAACGCAUGGGGAGCAACAGGAUUAGAUACCCUGGUAGUCCAUGCCGUACACGAUGUCUACUAGCCUUUGGGGCCUUUGAGGCUUUAGUGGCGC
rnacentral:rRNA from 1 species